rnacentral:rRNA from 1 species
AUGAUGUGGUUUAAUUCGACGCAACGCGAAGAACCUUACCAGGGCUUGACAUCCCCUGACCGCGUAUGAAAGUACGUUUCACCCUCGGGUGACAGGGAGACAGGUGGUGCAUGGUUGUCGUCAGCUCGUGUCGUGAGAUGUUGGGUUAAGUCCCGCAACGAGCGCAACCCUUAUCUUUAAUUGCCAGCAUUCAGUUGGGCACUUUAAAGAGACUGCCGGUGUUAAACCGGAGGAAGGUGGGAUGACGUCAAGUCCUCAUGGCCUUUAUGCUUAGGGCUACACACGUGCUACAAUGGGUGGUACAAAGAGAAGCCAACUCGCGAGAGCGCGCCAAUCUCAAAAAGCCAUCCUCAGUUCGGAUUGGAGUCUGCAACUCGACUCCAUGAAGUUGGAAUCGCUAGUAAUCGCGGAUCAGCAUGCCGCGGUGAAUACGUUCCCGGGCCUU